rnacentral:ncRNA from 1 species
AGAGUUUCUUACGAGGAAGGUCUAGCCAACUACUUCGGCCUCCGGCGGAGGAGCGAUGAAGGCAACAACAUCGCACUGAGCGUCCGCGCAGGGGGAAGCGUAGGCCAGCUAAUUGAGCUCCGAAAUCAGGUCCUCCAUGUGCCGACCGUGUCAUGUGCGUCGGGAAGACAACACCAACUAUACCGUCAAGGUGAGGAUAGCUUGGGCAUGGCGGAGUCGAAGAGCC